AGGAAAGCCCCCGCCCUCGUCCUCAAGCUGGAUUUUGCUAAAGCGUUCGACUCUGUCAACUGGGAGUGCCUUCGUCGAGUCUUGUAGGUGCGCGGCUUCCCUGAGAGGUGGUGCGCAUGGAUGGAUGCUAUCCUUUGUUCCUCCAGCUCCGCCGUGCUGCUCAACGGAGCGCCGAGGGCGUGGUUCCCAGUCAGGUGUGGCCUUCGCCAAGGAGACCCGAUGUCGCCCUACCUCUUCCUCCUGGUGGCGGACGUCCUGCAAUGGGUGGUGCCGCGCGACCCCCUGCUCAGGCACCCGGUGGUGGACGGUGAACCGCCGAUCGUGCUCUAA
rnacentral:rRNA from 1 species